AUUGAACGCUGGCGGCAUGCCUUACACAUGCAAGUCGAACGGUAACAGGUCUUCGGAUGCUGACGAGUGGCGAACGGGUGAGUAAUACAUCGGAACGUGCCCAGUAAUGGGGGAUAGCCCGGCGAAAGCCGGAUUAAUACCGCAUACGCCCUGAGGGGGAAAGUGGGGGACCGCAAGGCCUCACGUCAUUGGAGCGGCCGAUGGCUGAUUAGCUAGUUGGUGAGGUAAAGGCUCACCAAGGCGACGAUCAGUAGCUGGUCUGAGAGGACGAUCAGCCCACCUGGGACUGAGACACGGCCCAGACUCCUACGGGAGGCAGCAGUGGGGAAUUUUGGACAAUGGGGGAAACCCUGAUCCAGCAAUGCCGCGUGUGCGAAGAAGGCCUUCGGGUUGUAAAGCACUUUUGUCAGGGAAGAAAUCCUUUGGGCUAAUACCCUAGGGGGAUGACGGUACCUGAAGAAUAAGCACCGGCUAACUACGUGCCAGCCGCCGCCGUAACAC
rnacentral:rRNA from 1 species